rnacentral:rRNA from 1 species
GACGAACGCUGGCGGCGUGCCUAAUACAUGCAAGUCGAACGAGAGCAACCGGUUCUUGCCCUGGUCAAUCUAGUGGCGAACGUGUGAGUAACACGUGGGUAACCUGCCCAUCAGUGGGGGAUAACAUCCGGAAACGGAUUCUAAAACCGCAUAGGUCUUCGAACCGCAUGGUUUUUAGAGGAAAAGAGGCUCAAGCUUCUGCUGAUUGAUUUACCCGCGGUGCAUUAGCUAGUUGGUGAGGUAACGGCUCACCAAGGCCGUGAUGCAUAGCCGACCUGAGAGGGUGAUCGGCCACAUUGGGACUGAGACACGGCCCAAACUCCUACGGGAGGCAGCAGUAGGGAAUAUUCCGCAAUGGACGAAAGUCUGACGGAGCAACGCCGCGUGAGUGAAGAAGGUUUUCGGAUCGUAAAACUCUGUUGUUAGAGAAGAACAAGUGCUAGAGUAACUGUUAGCGCCUUGACGGUAUCUAACCAGAAAGCAACGGCUAACUACGUG